UGAAAUGAUUUUAGGUUCUGAAGGUGGCACAUCCACCAAUACAAGCUCAGCAGUCCAAGCUUCUGGUGCAACCGCAUCCUCUCAUGAGGCAUCAGAUGCUUCAUUUGUUAAAAAGUCAGCAGCAAGCAUGCUUAGUGGGAAGAGGCCUGUUCAAGCAGCUCCUACCAACAAAAAAGGGGCUUCUGCUAAAGGGCGUGUGAGUAAGAAGAGUGAUGCACCUGCACAGACAAAAUCCUCUAAAUCUGCUGAAACACCCGAAGAUGUUGAGCCAUCUGAAAUGGGUCUUGAAGAGAUUGAAAGCA